UGGGGAAUUUUGGACAAUGGGCGCAAGCCUGAUCCAGCAAUGCCGCGUGCAGGAUGAAGGCCUUCGGGUUGUAAACUGCUUUUGUACGGAGCGAAAAGGUCUGCCCUAAUACGGUGGGCUCAUGACGGUACCUGAAGAAUAAGCACCGGCUAACUACGUGCCAGCAGCCGCGGUAAUACGUAGGGUGCAAGCGUUAAUCGGAAUUACUGGGCGUAAAGCGUGCGCAGGCGGUUAUGCAAGACAGAGGUGAAAUCCCCGGGCUCAACCUGGGACCUGCAUUUGUGACUGUAUAGCUAGAGUACGGUAGAGGGGGAUGGAAUUCCGCGUGUAGCAGUGAAAUGCGUAGAUAUGCGGAGGAACACCGAUGGCGAAGGCAAUCCCCUGGACCUGUACUGACGCUCAUGCACGAAAGCGUGGGGAGCAAACA
rnacentral:rRNA from 1 species